ACAACAUUCCGAAAGGAAUGCUAAUACCGCAUACGCCCUACGGGGGAAAGCAGGGGAUCUUCGGACCUUGCGCUAAUAGAUGAGCCUAAGUCGGAUUAGCUAGUUGGUGGGGUAAAGGCCUACCAAGGCGACGAUCUGUAGCGGGUCUGAGAGGAUGAUCCGCCACACUGGGACUGAGACACGGCCCAGACUCCUACGGGAGGCAGCAGUGGGGAAUAUUGGACAAUGGGCGGAAGCCUGAUCCAGCCAUGCCGCGUGUGUGAAGAAGGCCUUUUGGUUGUAAAGCACUUUAAGCGAGGAGGAGGCUCCUUUAGUUAAUACCUAAAGAGAGUGGACGUUACUCGCAGAAUAAGCACCGGCUAACUCUGUGCCAGCAGCCGCGGUAAUACAGAGGGUGCGAGCGUUAAUCGGAUUUACUGGGCGUAAAGCGUGCGUAGGCGGCUUUUUAAGUCGGAUGUGAAAUCCCUGAGCUUAACUUAGGAAUUGCAUUCGAUACUGGGGAGCUAGAGUAUGGGAGAGGAUGGUAGAAUUCCAGGUGUAGCGGUGAAAUGCGUAGAGAUCUGGNAGGAAUACCGAUGGCGAAGGCAGCCAUCUGGCCUAAUACUGACGCUGAGGUACGAAAGCAUGGGGAGCAAACAGGAUUAGAUACCCUGGUAGUCCAUGCCGUAAACGAUGUCUACUAGCCGUUGGGGCCUUUGAGGCUUUAGUGGCGCAGCUAACGCGAUAAGUAGACCGCCUGGGGANGUACGGUCGCAAGACUAAAACUCAAAUGAAUUGACGGGGGCCCGCACAAGCGGUGGAGCAUGUGGUUUAAUUCGAUGCAACGCGAAGAACCUUACCUGGCCUUGACAUACUAAGAACUUUCCAGAGAUGGAUUGGUGCCUUCGGGAACUUAGAUACAGGUGCUGCAUGGCUGUCGUCAGCUCGUGUCGUGAGAUGUUGGGUUAAGUCCCGCAACGAGCGCAACCCUUUUCCUUAUUUGCCAUCGGGUAAUGCCGGGAACUUUAAGGAUACUGCCAGUGACAAACUGGAGGAAGGCGGGGACGACGUCAAGUCAUCAUGGCCCUUACGGCCAGGGCUACACACGUGCUACAAUGGUCGGUACAAAGGGUUGCUACCUCGCGAGAGGAUGCUAAUCUCAAAAAGCCGAUCGUAGUCCGGAUCGCAGUCUGCAACUCGACUGCGUGAAGUCGGAAUCGCUAGUAAUCGCGGAUCAGAAUGCCGCGGUGAAUACGUUCCCGGGCCUUGUACACACCGCCCGUCACACCAUGG
rnacentral:rRNA from 1 species